rnacentral:rRNA from 1 species
AUUGAACGCUGGCGGAAUGCUUUACACAUGCAAGUCGAGCGGCAGCGCGGGGCAACCUGGCGGCGAGCGGCGAACGGGUGAGUAAUGUAUCGGAACGUGUCCUUGAGUGGGGGAUAGCCCGGUGAAAACCGGAUUAAUACCGCAUACGCAGGAGACUGGAAAGCGGGGGAUCGCAAGACCUCGCGCUGGAGGAGCGGCCGAUAUCAGAUUAGCUAGUUGGUGGGGUAAAGGCCCACCAAGGCGACGAUCUGUAGCUGGUCUGAGAGGACGACCAGCCACACUGGAACUGAGACACGGUCCAGACUCCUACGGGAGGCAGCAGUGGGGAAUUUUGGACAAUGGGCGCAAGCCUGAUCCAGCAAUGCCGCGUGCAGGAUGAAGGCCUUCGGGUUGUAAACUGCUUUUGUACGGAACGAAACGGCCCUUUCUAAUACAGGGGGCUAAUGACGGUACCGUAAGAAUAAGCACCGGCUAACUACGUGCCAGCAGCCGCCGUAA